GGGGUCACAUGACAGCGAGGGCAGUGCUGAGCUUCCAGGGUAGCUCUGAAGGCCAGGGCUGUGAAGGUCUCGGUGAGUCCGGGACUGAGGACUCUCCCCACUGUGGGGUGAGGGAUGUUUCCUCAUCCUGAGGCCUCAGCUCCUCGAUGUCGCAAGGAGCCUCGCAGAGCCUCAGCACCGGAGCUCCGCAGUCUCAGGUCCCCAGCCUGAGAGGGAGUAGGGGGCAGGCGGGCGGCGGCCGAACCUCGCGGACCCUGUACCGGAAGCAGCCAAAUCACCGCGGGGGCGCGGAGGGCGCAGGACGUGGCGGCUCCUGCAUUCCUGAGCUCUCACACCCUGCGUCCGCACCCUCAGGCAGCCCGGAACUGCCAGUGACGGCGGGGCCCGGAAGAGCUGAGUCAGCGCCGGCGACCCAGAUGCCCUCGAGCAACGCGGGCGGAGAGGGAGAGACGGGCGCGCUCCGGGACUGCGCGCCGCCGCGUCUGGGCGGUCCGAUUCCUUCCCGCCCUGCCUGGGCCCCGGUCAGGCGAAGGGUUUCCGCGAUCGCGCCCUGGGGUCGAGUCACCCAAGAUGCCGGAAGGGAAGAAGGCCAAGGAGAAGAACUUGGCUCUGGUCCCUUCUGUUGUGCAGAAGUAGGAGGCCAAGAAGGUGAUGAAUCCCCUGUGUGA
rnacentral:lncRNA from 1 species